AUUGAACGCUGGCGGCAUGCUUUACACAUGCAAGUCGAACGGUAACAGGCCUUCGGGUGCUGACGAGUGGCGAACGGGUGAGUAAUGCAUCGGAACGUGCCCAGAGGUGGGGGAUAACGCAGCGAAAGCUGUGCUAAUACCGCAUGUGAUCUGAGGAUGAAAGCGGGGGACCAGGCAGCAAUGUUUGGCCUCGCGCCUUUGGAGCGGCCGAUGUCAGAUUAGGUAGUUGGUGGGGUAAAGGCCUACCAAGCCGACGAUCUGUAGCUGGUCUGAGAGGACGACCAGCCACACUGGGACUGAGACACGGCCCAGACUCCUACGGGAGGCAGCAGUGGGGAAUUUUGGACAAUGGGCGCUAGCCUGAUCCAGCAAUGCCGCGUGCGGGAAGAAGGCCUUCGGGUUGUAAACCGCUUUUGUACGGAACGAAAAGGCUCUGGCUAAUACCUGGGGCUGAUGACGGUACCGUAAGAAUAAGCACCGGCUAACUACGUG
rnacentral:rRNA from 1 species